GAUCUAGCAGCAUAACAAUACUGCACUGCGACAGGGCGAGUCUUGCAUCAAGCCACUAAACUUAGCAUCGAGCAAUAACGGCAACCGACGGGGGCUUGCAAUGAAUUUGCUUGUGUUGACACAAUAUAUAUUAACCCUGACACUACACCAAACUGAACACGAAUCCUGCACCAUAGAAAAUAUCUAAGCAAGUCACAACAAGCCAAUGCAGUUCAGUUCAAAUCAAUGAGUUUCAAAAUAAUACGCAGUUCAGGAAGUUAAGCAACAGUCCAAAUCAGUUUGGUUCAAUAACAGUUAUCCACAGUUGGAUCAAAGAACUUAAAGCAAAGGGAUUAGAGAGUGAACUUGUGGAAAA
rnacentral:lncRNA from 1 species